rnacentral:lncRNA from 13 species
GUAGUUUUCAUGUUCUUUGACUUGACAAUUAACUUCCUUUUAUAAUUGUUUUGUUUAUUUUUGGCCAGAUAGGACACUCACUCCGCUCAACAAUCAAUGCAAAUGAAAAGAUCAACAGAGAUGAUAUGAGUCAGCAGUGGUGCAGAAAGAAACCAGCUUGGCAAAGUUCCUGCUUUUGUGACUAUCUCCUAAUGGAUUACAAUGGAGCUGAAAAAUUCCUCUCACCUAGUGACGUGGAAGCUGCCAUAACAUCAUAGCCCAGCACAGUCAUCACAUGUUUGUGGUGAUCUGGUUUAAACCCACUUCACUGACAGCCGGAGAAAAGUCUAGCACAUACAGUUGUGUACAGCACAUAAUACUUGACAAUAAAUGAUUGUGUUACUGG